AUGAAUUUGGUCGGACCCGCGGUACUUCUCCCUCAUGGUGGUUGCUACACAAAUGUUGCAUCGUGCCAUGUCCUCCUCUCCUCGAGCUUCUCCCAGACCAGCCUUAGUGGUCAGAUAACCGAGAAGCUCAACCGCAAAAACUAUGUGCUCUGGCGGACGCAGAUCACGCCACAGCUCCGAGGUGCGGGGUUCUUCAGCUAUGUCGAUGGAACCACGAAGGAGCCCGCAUAGACUGUCACCACCAAGGCAGCAGACGGGAAGGAAGAGACAUUGCCGAACCCCCUACAUCCCAUCUGGGUCAGGGAGGAUCAGCAAGUAUCGGGCUAUCUGCUGAAUAACUUGUCGAAGGAAUUGCUUCUGCAGGUCACCUCCAUUGUCCAUGCGCAUGAUCUCUGGAUAGCGCUGGCCAGCAUGUUCUCCUUGACAUCUCUGUCCCGCAUCAACAACAUACGCAUAGCCCUAGCUAAUGCGCAGAAGGGACAACAAUCUGUGGUGAUGUACUUCACGCAGAUGCGUUCGCUGGCGGACGAGCUCGCAGCGGCAGGAAAGACGCUGGACGACGACCAGCUGAUCUCGCACAUCCUUGCUGGCCUCGACAUUGAGUAUCAGCCGCUGGUAUCGGCGCUCGCACCAUCCCCGUCAUGCUCGAUGAGCUUUUUGCUCAGAUGA
rnacentral:rRNA from 1 species